AUCCCAUGGUGAUGACAAGCUCUUGUAUAUCCUUUCAUACGCUCUCAUGCGUCAUACAAACUCUCUUCUUCGCCUUGCUCGAAUCUAGCUAUAUCAUUCCUUAUCUU
rfam:Arabis alpina cultivar Pajares chromosome 2, whole genome shotgun sequence.